GUGUCAGCAGCCGCGGUAAUACGGAGGGUGCAAGCGUUAUCCGGAAUGAUUGGGCGUAAAGCGUCCGCAGGUGGCAAUUCAAGUCUGCUGUUAAAGCGCAGGGCUUAACUCUGUAAAGGCAGUGGAAACUGAAUAGCUAGAGUGUGGUAGGGGCAGAGGGAAUUCCCAGUGUAGCGGUGAAAUGCGUAGAGAUUGGGAAGAACAUCGGUGGCGAAGGCGCUCUGCUGGACCAUAACUGACACUCACAGGACGAGAGCUAGGGGAGCGAAUGGGAUUAGAUACCCAAGUAGUCCUAGCCGUAAACGAUGGAUACUAUGUGUUGUCUGUAUCGACCCGGACAGUGCCGUAGCUAACGCGUUAAGUAUCCCGCCUGGGGAGUACGCACGCAAGUGUGAAACUCAAAGGAAUUGACGGGG
rnacentral:rRNA from 1 species